GGACCAAGGGGGUGGAGGUUGGGCGCUACAUACGGACAGGGACAGGGACAGGGACGAGGUGCGGGAUGGGCUACGCACGGAGCACAGAGGCACCGUGCGAUAAUAGCAAAAGAAAUAACAUAAACAACUGAAGAAAAGGAUGUUGCUGGACCAAGGAACUACGACUCAAGAUCCCCAGCUGCUGAUUCGGAAUUUCCCAUUUUUGUCCAACGGAAUUCGACUGUUCGGGCAUUCGGUCCAGACCAUCCCCAAGGCGAAACGGUCCUUUUGACUUUUGCGGUCGACUAGUUAAGGGACUACGGAGUGCAGUGCGUAGCUAGCUAGCUAUGUAGCUAGCUUAACAACCCCUAAACAAAACCUUCUGAAAUCACCUUGUCAUGCAUAUGCAUGCACUCUGCUACCCAAGCUCCUGUUGAAGCGGUUUUGAAAUUUUGAAAGGCGCUCGGAUUUCCCGCAGGGAUCAGCCUCAUGGGAAGAAGAAAAGAAAAUCGGUCCGGGCCUGGGCUUUUCUUUCCCCCUUCUCUUUCCUUGCUGUUUGCUAUGCAGCUAGGGGUGUUUGUUUUGUGGUCUAUUUACAUUCUAACUGCGUUGACACGUACGCAGCAGUAUGAUCCAUGAUAUGAUCCUUGGGGAUCGGAGGGCAGAAUGUGAGCAAAAGGGGUGAUAGGAUGUGAGACAAGUGAGGCAGACAGACAGACAGAUAGAUGGUAUCAGUCCGUGGGUCGAUGUGGAAAUAGCCAUUGGAGGAAUAGAAUCAAGGCCCGAGAAUGAAAGCUCUGUACAGACAUAUGUACAUACUGUACUAUCCUAAAUUAUUUUUGAUAUCCCAAACGCUAAUUGGAACACUCUGCAGUAAGGCAUCGGCAUUGAUCGCCGAUUGGAAAUAAUGAACAACAACAAAGAAGAAGAGGCCGCGCGACCUACGGAAUAUAGGGAGAAUCGAAAACAAUGAGUGAAUACUCCAUGGAUGUAUCAUUAUCGAUAUCUUCCAGAGACACCCGUUUUUUCCAACCCAGAAUUGACGUCAAAUCUUAUUUCAUUUCAUUGUUCAUCCCAUCUCAUCCCAAUCCGUGUAUUUAGUAAUGAUCAAGAUGAUAAUAUAUAAGGGGGAACAAAUAGGGAGAUUUGCCGCCAAUGAAAGCGAGAGGGAACCAAAAAAGGAGAGAGAGCGCAAAGAAAUAGAUUAAUGGCGCUUUUCGUGUUGUUUUACUCUCCGUUCCAACUCUCACCUGCCUUCCUACCUUCUUGUCUGUACUGUACUGCCAAAUAUACGGAUAUGGAUGGAUGGAUUAGAUAGACGGCAGUGUGCACGAUGUGGGACAUCAACGCAUCCAUAUAUAUCUGUGUAUGUAUGCAUAUGCAUCCGUUUCCGAAAUGAAAAAAAAAAAAAAAAAAAUAAAAAAA
rnacentral:sRNA from 1 species